AUGGAAACAAAUGAGAGUGAUUCAGAUGACUCUGACUUUGAUCCUGGGGCCAUAGUGGACAGUGAUUAUGAUAUUAGUGAUGGUGAUGAUGAUCUGUAUGCUGAUAAUGUGGAUAUGGAUGAGCCUGAAGACAGAAAGUUGAAAGAGAAGCAGAAGGAACAAAAAAAGAAAGUGCCUAUUAAAGGAAAUGAGAAAGAAGCACAUGACGCAGUAGCACAUGAUCCUGAAGAUGAGUUGUAUGAGUCAGAAGGAGAUGACUUGUGGGCCCCUGAUUCAGAUGAUGAAGAAAUUUACAUGAAGUUCAAGGCAUUUAGAAAUGAGGACCUACAGUGCCCCAAAUUUCAUGUUGGGCAAGUCUUCCAGACUGUUGAGUUACUAAGGAAAGCAAUCAAGGAAUACAGUUGCAAGAAUAGAGUUGAUGUGAAGCUCCCUGUAAAUGACAAGAAAAGGGUGAAGGCAACUUGUGAUGAGGAUUGUACUUGGUACCUUUGGGCCUCUUAUGAUAGUAGGACAAAGUGUUUCAUGGUCAAGAAAUAUGUACAUGAACACACAUGUACCAAGAAGUGGAAGAUCAAGGCUUUCACUGCUCCUUUCUUAGCACACAAGUACCUUGAGAGCUUUAGAGCUGACCAAGAUAUGAAUCUGAGGAACUUUUCAAGAGUAGUUCAGAAGGAAUGGCAUAUGACACCAUCUAGGAUCAAGUUGCAAAGAGCUAGAAGGAUAGCAAUGAAGAUUAUAUAUGGUGAUGAAGAGGCCCAGUACAAUAUGCUGUGGGACUAUGGAAAUGAACUUAGGAGAAGUAACCCAGGCAGCUCCUUUUUUGUCCAACUUGAUGAUAAAGCAAGGUUCUGCAAAGCAUAUAUGUGCCUGGAUGCUUGCAAAAGAGAUUUUAUUCUGGGGUGUAGGCCAAUGAUAUUCCUUGAUGGAUGUCAUAUUAAGACUAGGUAUAGAGGACAGCUUCUAACUGUUGUGGGAAUUGACUCAAAUGAUUGUAUUUUCCCUAUUGCUGUUGCUAUGGUUGAAGUGGAGGACAAGCCCAACUGGUGUUGGUUCCUUGAGAGGCUUAAGAAUGAUCUAGGCAUCAUCAACACCAACCCAUGGACUAUUAUGUCUGAUAAACAAAAGGGCCUAAUAAAUGCUGUAGAUGAGUUGUUUCCACAGUCAGAACAUAGGUUCUGUCAAGAAGGGAGGAACAACAAAAGAAAGCAGAGGAAGCUGCCAGGAAGAGACAUCAGCAAGAGGAGAAGAAAGCAUUGGAAGCAGAGAGGAAGAGGAAGUCACAAGCUGAGAAGAGAGAGAAGAGAAAAGAAGAAGCUGCAAUAG
rnacentral:rRNA from 1 species